CGCCCCCGCUUCCGGGGUGAGCGCACCUGGGCGCCGAGCGCGGGGCCGCGCGCCCACCAUGAACUCCAGCGGCCCGGGUUACCCGCUCGCCUCGCUCUACGCGGGCGACCUGCACCCUGACGUGACUGAGGCCAUGCUCUACGAGAAGUUCUCGCCCGCCGGCCCCAUCCUGUCCAUCCGCGUGUGCCGCGACGUGGCCACCCGCCGCUCGCUGGGCUACGCCUACAUCAACUUCCAGCAGCCGGCCGACGCGGAGCGGGCACUGGACACAAUGAACUUUGAGGUGAUCAAAGGCCAGCCCAUCCGCAUCAUGUGGUCCCAGCGAGACCCAGGACUUCGCAAGUCGGGUGUCGGCAACAUCUUCAUCAAGAACCUGGAAGACUCCAUUGACAACAAGGCCUUGUAUGACACCUUCUCCACCUUUGGGAACAUCCUCUCUUGCAAGGUGGUGUGUGAUGAUCAUGGCUCCCGAGGCUUUGGCUUUGUGCAUUUUGAGACCCACGAGGCUGCACAGAACGCCAUCAGCACCAUGAACGGGAUGCUGUUGAAUGACCGCAAAGUCUUCGUUGGCCACUUCAAGCCCCGACGGGAGCGGGAUGCAGAGCUGGGAGCUCGGGCCAUGGAGUUCACCAAUAUCUACGUGAAGAACCUCCAUGUGGACGUGAAUGAGCAGUGCCUGCAGGACCUCUUCUCCCAGUUUGGGAAGAUACUGAGUGUCAAGGUGAUGAGGGAUGACAGCGGCCACUCCCGCGGCUUUGGCUUUGUCAACUUUGAGACGCAUGAGGAAGCCCAGAAGGCUGUGAUGGACAUGAACGGGAGGGAGGUGCGUGGACGGCUGCUCUACGUCGGCCGGGCCCAGAAGCGGGUGGAGCGGCAGAAUGAGCUGAAGCGCAGGUUCGAGCAGAUGAAGCAGGACCGGCUGACCCGUUACCAGGGCGUGAACCUGUAUGUGAAGAACCUGGAUGACUCCAUCGAUGAUGAGAAACUGAGGAAAGAGUUCUCUCCCUAUGGAGUGAUCACCAGUGCCAAGGUGAUGACAGAGGGUGGCCACAGCAAAGGGUUUGGCUUUGUGUGUUUUUCCUCUCCAGAAGAGGCGACGAAGGCCGUGACAGAGAUGAACGGGCGCAUCGUGGGGACCAAGCCACUGUACGUGGCACUGGCCCAGCGCAAGGAGGAGCGGAAGGCCAUCCUGACCAACCAGUACAUGCAGCGCCUCUCCACCAUGCGGGCCCUGGGCAGCCCCCUCCUGGGCUCCUUCCAGCAGCCUGCCAGCUACUUCCUGCCCGCCGCGCCCCAGGUGACCUCCUGUCCGCAUCCCUUCCCUGACAGCCAGGUGGGGCAGGAAGAUCAGAGCUUCACAGGCAGACAGAGAUUCCCAACAUGCUUCUGCUGGAAACGCACUCGGCAGGCGGCCGUUGUCACCCCAUCUCUAACAGGGCCUCCAGCCCAGGCCCCAUACUAUGGCUCUGGCCCACCAGUCCAGCCUGCCCCCAGGUGGACGGCCCAGCUACCCAGACCCUCGUCCACCUACCCGCCUGUGGCCUCGGUUGUCCAGCCAGCAGCCGUGUCUCGGCGCCCCUCGGUCCCCAUCGGCAGUGCCAGGCAGAUCUCCACCCAUGUGCCGCGCCUGGUGCCCCACGCCCAGGGAGUGGCCAACAUCGGUACUCAGACCACAGGACCCGGUGUGGCAGGAUGCUCUUCACCAAGGGGGCCUCUCCUGACACACAGAUGUUCCUUGGCAACACACAACACCCACCGGGUCCAGGAGCCUGCUGUGCGUGUCCCCGGCCAGGAGCCCCUGACCGCGUCCAUGCUGGCCGCAGCGCCGCUGCACGAGCAGAAGCAGAUGAUCGGUGAGCGUCUCUACCCCCUUAUCUACAAUGUCCACGCCCAGCUGGCGGGCAAGAUCACGGGCAUGCUGCUGGAGAUCGACAACUCGGAGCUGCUGCUCCUGCUGGAGUCCCCAGAGUCCCUCAACGCCAAGGUGGGCUGGAGCCUGCGAGGAGCGGGGGGGCCUGGGGGCAGAGGAGGGUUACCGAUCAAGGCCUCUCCUAGGCGAGCCGGUAGGCUGCUGCUUAGACAGGUGAAGUGUAUCUUCUUGCUGAAAUCGGCUGAUACCUGCAGAAUGUGGAGGUGGCAGAGGGCCUUAGUGAAGGGCCGGCUACUUCAGCCCCUGCGGCCUCCCUGCAGCUCCGCAGGCAAGACUGUGCAACAGGGCGCUGUGUUCUGACCCAGCCCAAGGGUUAGGGUUCCCCCAGCCGUCUGGCAGUGUAGAAGGUGGCUGUGGGUUUCUGCCAUGGGAGCUGGUGAGCACAGUCAGAGGGGGCGGCAGGGCUGGGCGCGGGCCUUCUCGCAUCCGGCGGGCCGAGGCGGGGAGGCAGGGCUCUCCCAGGACCCUGCUGGGCAGCUGCACCAUCCCCUCCCCCGUGUGUCCCACAGGUCGAAGAGGCUCUGGCGGUGUUGCAGGACCACGAGGCCACGGAGCAGACCUGAGUGCACGUGCGCCGGGACCAGGCACCAAGGAGGCGUUCAGGGGAAGCUGUGAAGAUCAAAGGCAAGGAGGACAGACUGCGUGAUGGGAAUUGGCGUGGACUCCGGUGCCGAGUGGGCCGGCUGCCCGCCCCAGCGGCCUCGCUCAGAAUAGGCUGGCCUUCCCCCGGGCACCGCCUGGCCCCACACGACCUGCCGGAACGCCUGGCUUGGGCUUGUCUGUGUCCUUGCUUGAAGACUGGGUGUCUGCCAUGCUUUAGAAACAUUUAUUUUUCAUCCCCAGAAAAUGGACUCCUUACUCCCUUGGCUGACAAGAGAACAGCGUUUCCUGCUCUUGGCUCUAAGGCCCUGUGAACCGUAACUUCCCAACUGGGCUGUAUCUGCACUUGAGCUUUUU